ACUUGGCUGGCUCAGCUGGUAGAGCAUGAGACUCUUGAUCUCAAGGUUGUGAGUUUAAGCCCCAUGUGGGGUG
rnacentral:tRNA from 1 species